GGUGCUAUCGUCUAGGGGUUAGGACGCCAGGUUUUCAUCCUGGUAACCCGGGUUCGAUUCCCGGUAGCACUA
rnacentral:tRNA from 1 species